AAAAUCAGCCUGUAACCAUCUUGCCCAGGAGCUCGUGUUCUCAAGAAGUGGCUAAUAUGGGUACCCUACACCAAAAGAAGGAGGAAACCAAUGUCAGACAGCUACUUUUUUGCCAGCAAGAUACUUCUUCUAGUGUCUUUUUAACUGCUUUCACAUGAAUCAUAUGAAAGCAGGUGUGGAAAUGUGCUCCAGAGUAAUAUGAGUCAGGUGAAUGGGAUGAGGGUGUUUACACCUUCCUGCUUCUCACCCUAUCAAAUGAGAUCUUGGAGUUCAGCAAUAAAGCAAAUGCCCCAUGGAGCAGGUAGGAGAGUCAGCAGAAGGAAGGUGAGAUAAAAAGUCAGAAUAUAGCUGGUGUUAGGAGGGAGAAGGACCAGGAAGCUCAUGGCUUUCCUGGUGUUUGCUGGAUUUAGCAUCUCGCUGCUUCACAGUAAGUGGCCACCUCCACUUCCUCAGUUAAAAAAAGCUAGAGAAUCUCACAGAAGUUUUAUUUGUGUCCUUCCUGUUGGGCUUUUAGGAAGGAGACCUCAGCCUGGGUGUAGCUGGGCACUGGCAUUUAACAGGCCCAGAUGGAGUGCAAAUGACUCAGGUAUGGAGCUGCGAUUUGCCUUUCUCAACGUGCUAGGACUCUUUUGGAUUCAAGUUCUUGUGCACAGGUGGUCCUGCACUGCACAGCUGGAACCGCUGCAAGAAAGACCUAUGUAUGUACAAAGCACGUGUUCUUUGGACAAUGCAUUAAUUCACUAAAAAGCGGACAGAUACAUUUCUUUUGGAUAGGUUUUUGGAUUUUCUGAUUUAGGGUAUUUGUGUUUUCUUUUGCUUCAUGUCUUUUUAAAGAAGUAAAUAGACUAAAAAUCAUAUAUGUUAAACAUGAUAGACCUGAGCUACUUUUUUCAGCUGGAACUGAAUAUAACAACAGUUUUAAAGCAGAAUGCUGUAUUUUGACCUGUUAAAAUUACAUGUAUCAUUUACAUGAAUCUGAAUUGGAGAAACUAUGUAUUUUAUUUAUAUAACCACUUUUUAUAAAAUCACCCAUAUGAACAGAAAUGUAUCUGUCAACGACGCAA
rnacentral:lncRNA from 1 species